CCCGCCUUCCUGUCUAGCAAGCCGCAACACAAGAACUUUGUUAUCAGUGGUGAGGAGCCUAAGAACUGGAGGGGGCUGAACUGGCUUAACUCAGGUCCUGAUGAUCGAAAGUGCCGGGAAGGCAGCAAAAUAUUCGAAAGGGAUCCAUCAUGAUGUCGAGAAACCUGGCAAACGCUCAAAAGGGCUGACAGUGCUGUUUAGAGGCAACAUCACUGAGAGUUAUUUUGGCCCGGACGUGCCUUUCAGUGCAUGGCACCCCCCCCCCACGGUCCCGACCAACCAACACUGCCCCCUUUGGCACACCCACCCUAUUGCUAUAACGCAUACGCACGCAGCCGCCGGCCUCCAGCAGUGUACAGUUUAACCGGUGCCUGGCACCGCACCAGGCUUUCAGGAGGCUUAGGCAGCGGCUGCAAGUUUGUAUGGCGAUUUGCUGACAGUACUACUGACAGUACUGUAAUCCGGUCAUGCGAGGCUGUUUUGGGUGACCCCAGGGGACAACCAGAGUCUAGAUUGCAAUCCAGGACAGGACCGCUGGACACCCGUCACACCCCCCGGCCAUACAAGAGAGCAGGUAACAUUUUACGCAAGCUGACACUGAGUAAGCCUGACUGAGCAGUUAUUUAUUUGUUAACCAAAAUGGUUAAAUGAUUAUGUUUUCAUAGCCACUGAGACAAAAAAGUUA